rnacentral:rRNA from 1 species
UACGUAGGGGGCAAGCGUUGUCCGGAAUCAUUGGGCGUAAAGAGCGUGUAGGCGGCCCGGUAAGUCCGCUGUGAAAGUCCAGGGCUCAACCCUGGGAUGCCGGUGGAUACUGUCGGGCUCGAGUCCGGAAGAGGAGUGUGGAAUUCCUGGUGUAGCGGUGAAAUGCGCAGAUAUCAGGAGGAACACCAAUUGCGAAGGCAGCUCGCUGGAACGUAACUGACGCUGAGACGCGAAAGCGUGGGGAGCAAACAGG